rnacentral:rRNA from 1 species
AUUGAACGCUGGCGGCAGGCCUAACACAUGCAAGUCGAGCGGUAGCACAGAGAGCUUGCUCUCGGGUGACGAGCGGCGGACGGGUGAGUAAUGUCUGGGAAACUGCCUGAUGGAGGGGGAUAACUACUGGAAACGGUAGCUAAUACCGCAUAAUGUCGCAAGACCAAAGUGGGGGACCUUCGGGCCUCAUGCCAUCAGAUGUGCCCAGAUGGGAUUAGCUAGUAGGUGGGGUAACGGCUCACCUAGGCGACGAUCCCUAGCUGGUCUGAGAGGAUGACCAGCCACACUGGAACUGAGACACGGUCCAGACUCCUACGGGAGGCAGCAGUGGGGAAUAUUGCACAAUGGGCGCAAGCCUGAUGCAGCCAUGCCGCGUGUGUGAAGAAGGCCUUCGGGUUGUAAAGCACUUUCAGCGGGGAGGAAGGCGGUGAGGUUAAUAACCUCAUCGAUUGACGUUACCCGCAGAAGAAGCACCGGCUAACUCCGUGCCAGCAGCCGCGGUAAUACGGAGGGUGCAAGCGUUAAUCGGAAUUACUGGGCGUAAAGCGCACGCAGGCGGUCUGUCAAGUCGGAUGUGAAAUCCCCGGGCUCAACCUGGGAACUGCAUUCGAAACUGGCAGGCUAGAGUCUUGUAGAGGGGGGUAGAAUUCCAGGUGUAGCGGUGAAAUGCGUAGAGAUCUGGAGGAGUACCGGUGGCGAAGGCGGCCCCCUGGACAAAGACUGACGCUCAGGUGCGAAAGCGUGGGGAGCAAACAGGAUUAGAUACCCUGGUAGUCCACGCCGUAAACGAUGUCGAUUUGGAGGUUGUGCCCUUGAGGCGUGGCUUCCGGAGCUAACGCGUUAAAUCGACCGCCUGGGGAGUACGGCCGCAAGGUUAAAACUCAAAUGAAUUGACGGGGGCCCGCACAAGCGGUGGAGCAUGUGGUUUAAUUCGAUGCAACGCGAAGAACCUUACCUGGUCUUGACAUCCACAGAACUUUCCAGAGAUGGGUUGGUGCCUUCGGGAACUGUGAGACAGGUGCUGCAUGGCUGUCGUCAGCUCGUGUUGUGAAAUGUUGGGUUAAGUCCCGCAACGAGCGCAACCCUUAUCCUUUGUUGCCAGCGGUCCGGCCGGGAACUCAAAGGAGACUGCCAGUGAUAAACUGGAGGAAGGUGGGGAUGACGUCAAGUCAUCAUGGCCCUUACGACCAGGGCUACACACGUGCUACAAUGGCAUAUACAAAGAGAAGCGACCUCGCGAGAGCAAGCGGACCUCAUAAAGUAUGUCGUAGUCCGGAUUGGAGUCUGCAACUCGACUCCAUGAAGUCGGAAUCGCUAGUAAUCGUAGAUCAGAAUGCUACGGUGAAUACGUUCCCGGGCCUUGUACACACCGCCCGUCACACCAUGGGAGUGGGUUGCAAAAGAAGUAGGUAGCUUAACCUUCGGGAGGGCGCUUACCACUUUGUGAUUCAUGACUGGGGUGA